rnacentral:lncRNA from 1 species
AGGUGUAGUGGUUUUGCACCAUGCCUACAUAGUAGAAUCCCCUAGGGAGUUUUUAUAAAUAUAAACACCAAGAUCUAGCACAAGUUCUUUAUUUAACUGGGCUGAGAUCUUGUCUGAGAAACUGUGUGUGUGUGUGUGUGUGUGUGUGUGUGUGUGUGUGUGUGCUGAGAUCUUGUCUGAGAAACUGUGUGUGUGUGUGUGUGUGUGUGUGUGUGUGUGUGUGCUGAGAUCUUGUCUGAGAAACUGUGUGUGUGUGUGUGUGUGUGUGUGUGUGUGUGUGUGUGUGUGUGUGUGUGUGUAUGUGUGUGUUGUAUGCAUAUGCAGAGGCCAAAGCAGGACAUUGGGGUUUAUUGCUCUACGAUUCUGUCUUAUCUUCUUGGGCUUGGAAUUUGCCGUUUCUUUGGCUGGCUGGCAGGCCAGCAAGACCCAGAGAUUCCCCUAUGGAACUGACUUAAGGAAAAGGGCACCAGAAGGCCCCAUGGUAAGUACACAAACCUUCGUUUCUUACAGAUGAUCCAGCUGAGGAUUGGCUCCAGGUUUUAAAUAGGAAAGUAACAGAGUUUCCUCAUUCUUAACACCCACAAGUUUGUUAUACCAAAGUCGGGGACCUAUCUGCUUAGGAACAGGGGGUUCUUUGAGAGUUGGAGCACUUUGGUUGAUGAACUUUCCUAAGGAAGGCAUCUUAGGUCUCUAUACCUCUAUGAAUGCUCUGGGCUCAAGAAUACCAACUUCUUUCUGAGGAGAUGCAACUGUAACAUGCAUUCCUCACACAACCUACUUAUCUCUGUCUUCUGACUGCCUAGGGAAAGAUGGGGUCGUGUUAUCUCCUAGUGGGACUGAACCCACCAAAGAGGAAUCCACUGUAGACCGGUUCACACAUACCAGGGCGUAGGAGUGCAAACUGGGACAUGCUGCUGCUGGGUGAAGAGUAGGGGAUAGAAUUGGAAAGAGAGGUGACACAGGCACACUCUCCUGUGAUGCAUGCAUGGCUUAUGCUAUGGACAGGGUCCCAGCGACUGUGGCUGAUACACUUAGUGGUUGGCUCUUGGACACUUAGGAAAAGCAAUUGCUUUUAUAAGAAG